CCUCUUCGUUCAUAGCAAUCGAUGCCGAACAACAGACUUCUUCCGUCCUCUUUCUUUCUCUUUUCUAACAUUGAAGCUAUGGACACUCUCACCAUGUCUGCCUAAAUUUUUCACCGAAGAAGCUGUUGAAGCUCGAGGUAAGCCCUAGACUCUCUUCCUUCCCUUCUUCCCCUUCUUCCCAUAUUUUUGCAUAUGGCCAUCGACCAUCGAAUCCAUCGGAAAAGCCAUAUGAAUCAAGACCCUAUUUUUUCCUAUUUGGUCGAGCUUUAUUUCUCUUCUUUCCGACCACCGACGCCGCCGCCUUCGGUGCUACACCCCUGGAUCUUUACCCCCAACCUAUCAACUACCUUCCCC
rnacentral:lncRNA from 1 species